rnacentral:piRNA from 1 species
GAACCACGACUGUGGGUCCGGCCCCUCCUU